rnacentral:rRNA from 1 species
CCUACGGGCUGCACCAGUGGGGAAUCUUGCGCAAUGGGCGAAAGCCUGACGCAGCCAUGCCGCGUGGAUGAUGAAGGUCUUAGGAUUGUAAAAUCCUUUCACCGGUGAAGAUAAUGACUGUAGCCGGAGAAGAAGCCCCGGCUAACUUCGUGCCAGCAGCCGCGGUAAUACGAAGGGGGCUAGCGUUGUUCGGAAUUACUGGGCGUAAAGGGAGCGUAGGCGGACAUUUAAGUCAGGGGUGAAAUCCCGGAGCUCAACUUCGGAACUGCCUUUGAUACUGGAUGUCUUGAGUGUGAGAGAGGUAUGUGGAACUCCGAGUGUAGAGGUGAAAUUCGUAGAUAUUCGGAAGAACACCAGUGGCGAAGGCGACAUACUGGCUCAUUACUGACGCUGAGGCUCGAAAGCGUGGGGAGCAAACAGGAUUAGAUACCCGCGUAGUC